GACGAACGCUGGCGGCGUGCCUAAUACAUGCAAGUCGAGCGGACUUGAGGGAGCUUGCUCCCGAAAGUUAGCGGCGGACGGGUGAGUAACACGUGGGCAACCUGCCUAUAAGACUGGGAUAACUUCGGGAAACCGGAGCUAAUACCGGAUAAUUCUUUUCCUCUCAUGAGGAAAAGCUGAAAGUCGGUUUCGGCUGUCACUUAUAGAUGGGCCCGCGGCGAAUUAGCUAGUUGGUGAGGUAACGGCUCACCAAGGCGACGAUGCGUAGCCGACCUGAGAGGGUGAUCGGCCACACUGGGACUGAGACACGGCCCAGACUCCUACGGGAGGCAGCAGUAGGGAAUCUUCCGCAAUGGACGAAAGUCUGACGGAGCAACGCCGCGUGAGUGAUGAAGGUUUUCGGAUCGUAAAACUCUGUUGUUAGGGAAGAACAAGUACCAGUUAACUGCUGGUACCUUGACGGUACCUAACCAGAAAGCCACGGCUAACUACGUGCCAGCAGCCGCCGUAACAC
rnacentral:rRNA from 1 species